GGAUUUCAUUUGUAGCAAUACCGAUAAAAUCUAGUGGCGAACGGGUGCGUAACACGUGAGCAAUCUGCCGGGAAGUGGGGGAUAACUCGUCGAAAGGCGAAUUGAUACCGCAUAUGGCCAAGGGGGACAUCCUCCCGAAGCCAAAGUCGCAAGACGCUUCCUGAUGAGCUCGCGGCCUAUCAGCUAGUUGGUGAGGUAACGGCUCACCAAGGCAAUGACGGGUAGCUGGUCUGAGAGGACGACCAGCCACACUGGAACUGAGACACGGUCCAGACACCUACGGGUGGCAGCAGUCGAGAAUUUUUCACAAUGGGGGAAACCCUGAUGGAGCGACGCCGCGUGGAGGAUGAAGGUCUUCGGAUUGUAAACUCCUGUCAAAUGGGAACAAGAAAGUGAUAGUACCAUUAGAGGAAGAGACGGCUAACUCUGUGCCAGCAGCCGCGGUAAUACAGAGGUCUCAAGCGUUGUUCGGAUUCAUUGGGCGUAAAGGGUGCGCAGGCUGCGGGGUAAGUCGGAUGUGAAAUUUAGGGGCUCAACCUCUAAACUGCAUUCGAUACUGCUCUGCUAGAGGACUGUAGAGGAGAUUGGAAUUCACGGUGUAGCAGUGAAAUGCGUAGAUAUCGUGAGGAAGACCAGUGGCGAAGGCGAAUCUCUGGGCAGUUCCUGACGCUCAUGCACG
rnacentral:rRNA from 1 species